rnacentral:tRNA from 1 species
GCCUGGGUGGCUGAGUAGGUUAGGCGUCCGACUUCAGCUCAGGUCAUGAUCUCACGGUUCGUGAGUUCAAGCCCCGCCUCAGGCU